GAUGAACGCUGGCGGCGUGCCUAAUACAUGCAAGUCGAACGGGGAGUAGCAAUACCCUUAGUGGCGAACGGGUGAGUAACGCGUUGGUACCUGCCCCGAAGCGGGGGAUAACGGACCGAAAGGUCCGCUAAUACCCCAUGUGCUCGGUAACGAGUAAAGGUGAAAACCACUUUGGGAGGGGCCUGCGUCCCAUCAGCUAGUUGGUAAGGUAACGGCUUACCAAGGCGAUGACGGGUAGGGGACCUGAGAGGGUGGCCCCCCACAAUGGAACUGAAACACGGUCCAUACACCUACGGGUGGCAGCAGUAGGGAAUAUUGGUAAUGGGCGCAAGCCUGAACCAGCAACGCCGCGUGUGCGAUGACGGCCUUCGGGUUGUAAAGCACUUUUGACUGGGACGAGGAAGGACGGUACCGGUCGAAUCAGCCUCGGCUAACUACGUG
rnacentral:rRNA from 1 species